UACAGAGGGUGCGAGCGUUGUUCGGAAUUACUGGGCGUAAAGCGCGCGCAGGCGGCCUUUUAAGUCUCGUGGUGAAAUGCCGGGGCUCAACCCCGUGCCCGCCGGAGAGACUGGGAGGCUGGAGACAUGUAGAGGCAAGCGGAAUUCCGGGUGUAGCGGUGGAAUGCGUAGAUAUCAGGAGGAACACCGAUAGCGAAGGCAGCUCGCUGGGACGGUACUGACGCUGAGGCGCGAAAGCGUGGGGAGCGAACAGG
rnacentral:rRNA from 1 species